GUUAGGAAAGGCGGGCUCCCUUCGCGGGAGCCACUGCAAACGAAACAGUUUUGGACAGGCGUGUCGUUCCCAGGCCUGUUCCGUCAGCUGCGGUUUUUUACGCAUGGUUGAGUUAUUGGUAACGCAUGAAUCCCAUCUUAAUAAAUAGGCUCCAGAAGAAACUGGGCUACACUUUUCAAC
rfam:Candidatus Sodalis pierantonius str. SOPE, complete genome.